AUGGCUGGGGAGUCUUCUGGCCUCCCAGGUCUCCGCAUGGCCAUAAAAGCCAGGAGCUUGGUGGACAGCUGGUGUUGCAUAGCUGCUUUUAUGGACAGGAGGUUUCACAUGUGUGGGUCUGAUUUCCAGUUGAAUGUGGACCCUGAGGAUCAUGAGGUAUUCAUCUGGGGAGAUGGGAUAAGCAAGCAUCUGGAUAGAACAAGAAGAAGCUGUCCUAGGAAAGUGGUUCAAGUUGCACAUCUCCACUUGUGGGUGAUAAGGUGGAAGAAGUGCUGGGGCUGCCUGGACUCAAAUAAGGCUAGUUUGUCCUCUCUGUGUUACUUCACAGCUAGUAGGCUACUGGCAUCAGGAAACAGUCUAUUGACAUACUGUUUCUGGCUUUCUAAGCUCACAUUUUUAUCUCCAUAUAUAUAUAUCUGUGUAGCAGAGAGGUACAAAGCAGUUCCUUCAGCAUGGUCAGUCAUAUACACUGUUUUGUCUGUGCUUCUGGGAGCAUCAUGCAUUGAAGGCAUCAGAGCCAAUGCUUCUACUUACCACAGGCCCAUUCCAUGUCACGCUCUUCCCACACUUGCUUCUGAAGAAUAGAUGGAUGUACAGAAGGGCAAGAAGAACAGAGCAAAGCACCCACCUGCCCAGCCUCCCACCAGUAACCCUUGCUGAUGGAACUGGGAAUGUGAGUGAUCUGUUUCUCUUCACAUAUCCCUCAGCUCCAACAAGACCUGGAAUUAAAUUUUAGCACCAUGCCUGUAUAUGUAUCAGAGCUGGGUGCUCUGAUAGACUGGACUCUCAGAAAGCUGAUAUGUCCUUAAGCAAAUCUCUUCAACUUUUCCCCUGAACUACAGUUUUAUACAUCAGUAAAAUGGGGAUAGUAGCUUCAUGGAUCAUAGAGUAAGUUUUAGGAGGGCUUUGCUGGAUGUGCUGUUGCUUGUAUAUACUGUGUAAAGUAUUGUUAAUUGGAAUUUUCAUGCAGGUCUUUAGUUACUGAAUCUGAGAUUCUUUCUUUCAUUUUUAAUAUAUCAGUGAAAUUGGGGCCACAAUUUCUAUUCAUUAAUAAGUAAACAUUUCAAACAAUGCCAAUUUGUAAGAAAAAAUAAUAGUAAUGAUAAUAUAACAUAUAUAAAUAUGUAUACAGAAAACAAGGGAUGGACAAAUCAAUUUCUCACCCCCCAUCGAUCAAUGCCAAGCCAGUUCCCAAGCAGUGGCAGCCCCCCCUUUUACCCCCACCUCCAUACCUCCCCCAGCCAACUCUCCUCAGUUUUAUAGUUUUUUUGCAUGAUGUCAUAUGACAUGAAAUAUCCCUUUGGCCAAUUUAAGUCACAGCUGCUCUGGUUCUGUCCCUUCCAGCUGAAGCCGGAAGCCCGC
rnacentral:lncRNA from 1 species